AUGCAUGGUUUAAAUAGGGAAGAGAUAGAGUUUAGGUGAGAGUCCAAACUCCUUUAGACUCUAGGAUUGUGACCGCCCAAUACCUUCUCCUUUUGCACCCCAUAUUACAUCGAACAAAUCAGAUAUCCCAUGCAUUCUUACACGUAAAAGACCUCACAAAAAAAGGGAGGAGCGUGGAAUAUAUUGACGUCCAAAAUCGGUUGGACGUGGGGCUAGUAUGUGGCACAUG
rnacentral:lncRNA from 1 species